rnacentral:rRNA from 1 species
CCCAGACUCCUACGGGAGGCAGCAGUGGGGGAUAUUGCACAAUGGGGGGAACCCUGAUGCAGCGACGCCGCGUGGGUGAAGGAGCGUUUCGGCGCGUAAAGCCCUAUCGGCAGGGAAGAAGGAGGACGGUACCUGACUAAGAAGCCCCGGCUAACUACGUGCCAGCAGCCGCGGUAAUACGUAGGGGGCAAGCGUUAUCCGGAUUUACUGGGUGUAAAGGGGGCGUAGACGGCAGCGCAAGCCAGGAGUGAAAGCCCGGGGCCCAACCCCGGGACUGCUCUUGGAACUGCGCGGCUGGAGUGCAGGAGGGGCAGGCGGAAUUCCUGGUGUAGCGGUGAAAUGCGUAGAUAUCAGGAGGAACACCGGUGGCGAAGGCGGCCUGCUGGACUGCGACUGACGUUGAGGCCCGAAAGCGUGGGGAGCAAACAGGAUUAGAUACCCGCGUAA